rnacentral:rRNA from 1 species
UACAGAGGGUGCGAGCGUUAAUCGGAAUUACUGGGCGUAAAGCGUGCGUAGACGGUUAUUUAAGUCGGGUGUGAAAGCCCCGGGCUCAACCUGGGAAUUGCAUUCGAGACUGAAUAGCUAGGGUACGGUAGAGGGAAGUGGAAUUUCCGGUGUAGCGGUGAAAUGCGCAGAUAUCAGGAGGAACACCGGUGGCGAAGGCGGCUUGCUGGGCCUUACCUGACGCUGAGGAGCGAAAGCGUGGGGAGCGAACAGG